rnacentral:rRNA from 1 species
CCUACGGGAGGCAGCAGUGAGGAAUAUUGGUCAAUGGCCGGAAGGCUGAACCAGCCAAGCCGCGUGAAGGACGAAGGUGCCAAGCAUUUUAAACUUCUUUUGUCAAGGGACAAAAUCAGGCUCGAGAGCCUGACCGAGGGUACUUGAAGAAAAAGCAUCGGCUAACUCCGUGCCAGCAGCCGCGGUAAUACGGAGGAUGCGAGCGUUAUCCGGGUUUAUUGGGUUUAAAGGGUGGGUAGGCGGGCUGUUAAGUCAGCGGUAAAAGCCCGGGGCUAAACCCCGGCGAGCCGUUGAAACGGGCUGUCUUGAGAUGUCGAGAGGUAUGCGGAAUGCGCAGUGUAGCGGUGAAAUGCUUAGAUAUUGCGCAGAACUCCGAUUGCGAAGGCAGCAUACCGGCGGCGAUCUGACGCUGAGGCACGAAAGCGUGGGUAUCGAACAGGAUUAGAUACCCCAGUAGUC